AAUUAUCCGUGCUAUUUGACAUAAAAGAGCACAAAUGGAAUUUGUUAUUUUAGCCUAGGCAAGGAAAUCACCUUAGGCCUUCUUCAUAGGGCACAAUUAUCGAAAGAUAUAUAUAUGUUAGUUUUUUUUUUUUUUUUUAUCAAACAACACAAUAACACUCAAGUCCACACAUAAAUGCCGAAAAUCAUAGCAUUUUAUGUUUCAUGAUGGGGAGUGGGAUGCAUGAAUUGAGUUAUUUUUUUGAUGUUGAAUAAGUAUUUUAUGUUUUGAGAUUGAUUAUUAUGCUUGAAUGACAUUUCGUACUUAUAUUUUUGAUAGAAUAUUCUGGCUUAAUAAGAAUUAGUAGUAUAAUUUAUCUGCAUUGUAUUAUUUAGAAUUUUUUUAAUUAAAAUAAAUUAAUGUUUGAAAGGCUUACACCUCAAUGCUUCAAGGCUUACGCCUCGCAUAGAGGACUAAAAACACCUCGC
rnacentral:lncRNA from 1 species